rnacentral:rRNA from 1 species
GACGAACGCUGGCGGCGUGCCUAAUACAUGCAAGUUGAGCGCUGAAGGUUGGUACUUGUACCGACUGGAUGAGCAGCGAACGGGUGAGUAACGCGUGGGGAAUCUGCCUUUGAGCGGGGGACAACAUUUGGAAACGAAUGCUAAUACCGCAUAAAAACUUUAAACACAAGUUUUAAGUUUGAAAGAUGCAAUUGCAUCACUCAAAGAUGAUCCCGCGUUGUAUUAGCUAGUUGGUGAGGUAAAGGCUCACCAAGGCGAUGAUACAUAGCCGACCUGAGAGGGUGAGCGGCCACAUUGGGACUGAGACACGGCCCAAACUCCUACGGGAGGCAGCAGUAGGGAAUCUUCGGCAAUGGAAGAAAGUCUGACCGAGCAACGCCGAGUGAGUGAAGAAGGUUUUCGGAUCGUAAAACUCUGUUGGUAGAGAAGAACGUUGGUGAGAGUGGAAAGCUCAUAAAGUGACGGUAACUAACCAGAAAGGGACGGCUAACUACGUG